CAUGCUCCCAGUAUGGCUUAAACAAUGACACUUGGAUAUUUUUCAAGCAAGACACACCAAGCAACUGAUUUCUAAGAAGACACUCAUUUUUGGCAGAUUUCCUUCAUUGACUCCUCCAGGACUUAAAGAAGAAGAAAAGAUGGCAUCUGCUGGGUUUCAGAUGUUGGGCAUAGCCCUGGGCAUCAUUGGCUGGAUCGGGGCCAUCGUGGUCUGUGCUCUUCCUCAAUGGAAGGUCACAGCCUUCAUCGGCGAGAACAUAAUCACAGCCCAAACCACUUGGCAAGGCAUCUGGAUGAACUGUGUGGUCCAGAGUACAGGUCAGAUGCAGUGUAAGGUAUACGACUCCAUGCUGGCACUACCCCAGGACCUCCAGGCCGCUCGUGCUCUCAUCAUCAUCUCUAUCAUGAUGGGCCUGGUGGGCAUCCUGCUCGCCGUGGCCGGGGGCAAGUGCACCAACUGCGUGGAGGAUGAGAGGGCCAAAUCCAGAAUAGGCCUGGGCUCGGGUGUAGUUUUCAUCAUCGCUGGCAUCCUGUGUCUCAUCCCUGUCUGCUGGUCGGCCAACACCAUCAUCAGGGACUUUUACAACCCCAUGCUGAUGAGCUCUCAGAAGAUGGAGCUGGGGGCUAUGGUUUCCCAGGGGAUCCCGGUCAUGGGAAUAGUCAUGUCGUUGAUCGACUGUUUGACGGUCAUCAUCGUGUGUGCCCUGCCUAUGUGGAAGGUCACAGCCUUCAUCGGAGCCAACAUUGUCACAGCACAAACCAUCUGGGAGGGAAUGUGGAUGACCUGUGUGGUGCAGAGCAUGGGCCAGAUGCAGUGUACGGUCUACGAAUCCAUUCUGGCACUACCCCAGCAUCUCCAGGCCGCCAGAGCCAUGAUCAUCAUCUCCGUCCUGACCAGUAUCGUCGGCAUCUGCCUGUCGAUCGCUGGAGGGAAAUGCACCAACUGCACAGCAGAGGAGGGAUCUCAACGUCAACAUAAAGUGACGAUCCUUGGAGGCAUCCUGCAGCUCAUUGGUGCUCUUCUGGUCCUCAUCCCUGUUUGCUGGUAAGCGACGUUCACUAUCUCCGACUUUAAUAACCCUCUGACCAUCGAGACCCAGAGGAGGGAGAUAGGAGCCUCCAUCUACAUCGGCUUGGGCUCCACAGCGCUGCACCUCAUCGGGGGGAUCAUCCUCUGCACCUCCUGCCCGCCCCAGAAGAUGUAUGGGUACCCGAGCUAUCCUCAAGGAGCGCACAUGUACCCCUAUCCAGGCCAACCAAUGGUCCAGGCGGGGCCCUAUGGGAGAGUUUACACCCCAACCAGCAGGCCCUACUCAGGGACAGAGUCGUGUGCACCAAGCAAGCCGUAUGCAGCACCAAUAGAAUACGCUUUACCUGGACGGCCUGGACAGUAUCUGUAACAAAGUGAAAUGGAAAGAGGAAAGUUCUCCCUGAAUAUUGACUGGUAUUCUCAACCUUGAUGUUUUCAAGCGAUUGUUUU